GGUGUCAGAGAAGGAAGAUGGAAAACAACUGUCAACUACUACAACCCCAUCAUACGAAUAUCUCCAUUUCGAAUUCCCUUUGAAGUUUGAAUGUGUGGAUCCUUGUUGAGGGGCUAGCUUCUCGUUCCACUUUCCCUUUUCCUGGGUUAGCUUCGUGUUCCGAUGUUUUGAGUUCUAAUAUACUGAAUCUGUGGAGAAUACCAGAUAAGUGGAUGACGUUUAAUUAACUGCGUGAGCUUCUGGUGUUUUCGUUAGCAUAGCAUCCGAGUAUGCUUUCUUGUGUAAAAAGCAGCCUGUGUUCUCAGCAACCGUUUCCGCUUGAUGGUGCUCAAUAUCCCACCAUUUAAUUCCAAGAACUUGAGAGGAAUUGUUAUGGAGGUAAGUAGUUCGAUGUCGUUGUGGUUAACAUAGAAACAUUUGGGAACAAAAAACAUAAACAUUUAGGAAACUUAUACUAAAUUAUACGAAUCCAAAACGAAAGGAAAAGACAGAAAUUUCACUUUUGCAAUCAAGGUUGAAUAGGAAAAUGUUGUUUCCAAAUGCAAAUUUUACUUGUGACGCGGUUUUUUUCCCAAGCUUUUGGCAUUUUGAGGUUUUCCGCACUCUUGAGGAUUUUUCCCAGUAUGGUCCUGCAAUUAUUUAUAUCAUACUUUACAUAUAGUUAAUGAUACAACUUUGCAAAGAACAUUUAAUUUUAAGUACCUUUGCGACAUUUGUA